rnacentral:rRNA from 1 species
CGCGUAGGUGGUUCGAUCAGUCGGAGGUGAAAGCCCUCGGCUCAACCGAGGAUCCGCGUCCGAUACUGUCGAACUUGAGUGCAGGAGAGGAGAGCGGAAUUCCCAGUGUAGCGGUGAAAUGCGUAGAUAUUGGGAGGAACACCGGUGGCGAAGGCGGCUCUCUGGACUGCCACUGACACUGAGGCGCGAAAGCUAGGGGAGCAAACGGGAUUAGAUACCCCGGUAGUCCUAGCCGUAAACGAUGGGCACUAGGUGUGGGAGGUAUCCGACCCCUUCCGUGCCGCAGCUAACGCACUAAGUGCCCCGCCUGGGGAUACGGCCGCAAGGUUGAA